GGCUUACCAAUGAUGUCCAAAAAAUAAAUGUCUAAACAAAUGACUGUCCAGUGAAAACAAUUUAAUAUUGAGGUAAGCC